rnacentral:tRNA from 1 species
GGGCCUAUAGCUCAGUUGGUUAGAGCGCCGGACUCAUAAUCCGUCGGUCCGGGGUUCAAGUCCCCGUGGGCCCACUA